rnacentral:tRNA from 1 species
GGACGAUUGACCGAGUGACUAGGUGACUGUCUGCAAAACAGUAUUAGACGGGUUAGAAUCCCGUAUCGUCCUCCA